UACGGAGGGGGCUAGCGUUGUUCGGAAUUACUGGGCGUAAAGCGCGCGUAGGCGGACCUGCAAGUCGGGGGUGAAAGCCCGAGGCUCAACCUCGGAACUGCCUUCGAUACUGCGGGUCUCGAGUCCGGGAGAGGUGAGUGGAAUUCCUAGUGUAGAGGUGAAAUUCGUAGAUAUUAGGAAGAACACCAGUGGCGAAGGCGGCUCACUGGCCCGAUACUGACGCUGAGGCACGAAAGCGUGGGGGAGCAAACAGG
rnacentral:rRNA from 1 species